AGGGCUCUUAACCCACGUUGUACCGGUCUGCCCUGCGGCAUCGAGGAGGGAGGUGCAGGUUACCUAUACUAAGAUAUAAGUCAGAUGGCGCCCGAGAUUCGCAACGACCACUGUGACUUGCGUGCUUCCUUCAGCCUCAAGUAAAGAACAAACGAAAUGGCGGUGGUGCAUGUUCCUGAGCUUCACCGCAUGGCGCUGUGCUCAGCGGGCUCUGUCGGCCGUGUCGGGUGGCCGCCGCGGUGUCCGGACUAAUGGCAAGAUGGAUGAUUACAGCGAUAUCUCUACUCCUGCCAGUAGAAACCAAGAUUAGCCCUCGUUGCAUGAGUUUGACCUCCAAGCUGAGCCAAUGUCAACGGCGGCGAAAGACUCAUCGACAUACUAGUGCGGCGUGUUCGCCAGCGAACAGCGGC
rnacentral:lncRNA from 1 species